rnacentral:rRNA from 1 species
AUGAACGCUGGCGGCGUGCCUAAUACAUGCAAGUCGAGCGAACGGACGAGAAGCUUGCUUCUCUGAUGUUAGCGGCGGACGGGUGAGUAACACGUGGAUAACCCACCUAUAAGACUGGGAUAACUUCGGGAAACCGGAGCUAAUACCGGAUAAUAUUUUGAACCGCAUGGUUCAAAAGUGAAAGACGGUCUUGCUGUCACUUAUAGAUGGAUCCGCGCUGCAUUAGCUAGUUGGUAAGGUAACGGCUUACCAAGGCAACGAUGCAUAGCCGACCUGAGAGGGUGAUCGGCCACACUGGAACUGAGACACGGUCCAGACUCCUACGGGAGGCAGCAGUAGGGAAUCUUCCGCAAUGGGCGAAAGCCUGACGGAGCAACGCCGCGUGAGUGAUGAAGGUCUUCGGAUCGUAAAACUCUGUUAUUAGGGAAGAACAUAUGUGUAAGUAACUGUGCACAUCUUGACGGUACCUAAUCAGAAAGCCACGGCUAACUACGUG